CUCUUUGGUGAUUUGGCUUAUAUGACUGACAUGCAUCAUAAAGCUAGGUUACCAAAGCU
rnacentral:pre_miRNA from 4 species